rnacentral:rRNA from 1 species
CGCCCAUUAGCUAGCCUUAACCCCUAAAAACAACAAACCACAUUAAUAACCCCUCAACCCCUAAACACAACAAAACAAAUCAUUUUCCCCUCUUAGUAUGUGCGACAGAAAAGAGUCAUUUGAGCAAUAGAAAAAGUACCGCAAGGGAACGCUGAAAGAGAAAUGAAAUAACUCAGUAAAGCAUAAAAAAGCAAAGAUUAUUUCUUGUACCUUUUGCAUCAUGAUUUAGCCAGUACCCACCAAGCGAAGCGCCCUUUAGUUUGGAACCCCGAAACUAAGUGAGCUACUUCAGGCCAGCCUAUAAUAGGGCCAACCCGUCUCUGUGGCAAAAGAGUGGGAAGAGCCUCAAGUAGAGGUGAAAGAUCUACCGAACUUAGUAAUAGCUGGUUGCCUGGGAAAUGGAUAGAAGUUCAGCCUGUUGAAUUUUCUUCUCUCACAACCAAAUUUUGGCGUUGUUGUCUAACCAUAGGCAUCAUAAUCUGUCGUUAACACCAAGAGCUAAAAGAAAUCAACAGAGUUAGUCAAAGGGGGAACAGCCCCUUUGACACAAGACACAACUUUUCUAGGAGGAUAAAGAUCAUAAUAUAAUCUAAGGGCAAAAUAUUCUGGUGGGCUUAAUAGCAGCCAUCCACUAAGGAAAGCGUUAAAGCUCGAAUAACUCCCGUCGACCUAAAAAUUCAGAUCAAAAAAUCUUAAACCCCGGACCCUACCAGGCCGCUCUACAACACUGUAGAAGAGAUAAUGCUAAUAUGAGUAAUAAGAGGGACCCCUCUCCCUGCACAAGUGUAAAUCGGAACGGAAUAACCACCGAAACUUAACGGCCCCAAACAUAGAGGGAAGUGAAUUAAUGAUUUUCCAAGAAAACAUUUCAUUCUUUACCGUUAACCCCACACUGGAAUGCCCCAAGGGAAAGACUAAAAGAAAAAGAAGGAACUCGGCAAACACAUUUAAGCCUCGCCUGUUUACCAAAAACAUCGCCUCUUGCAAAACAAGAAUAAGAGGUCCCGCCUGCCCAGUGACUUUAUGUUCAACGGCCGCGGUAUCCUGACCGUGCCAAGGUAGCGCAAUCACUUGCCCUUUAAAUGGGGGCCCGUAUGAAUGGCACCACGAGGGCUAAUCUGUCUCCUUUUUCAGGUCAAUGAAAUUGAUCUCCCCGUGCAGAAGCGGGGAUGCCUACAUAAGACGAGAAGACCCUGUGGAGCUUUAGACUUUAAGAUCGGUCCCGCACCCGCCCUAAUAAACACUGGGCCAAGCAAAGGAACUCGAUCUGACUGUCUUUGGUUGGGGCGACCGCGGGGAUUAACAAAACCCCCACGUAGACCGGAAGCAUAAUGCAUCCAAAACCAAGAGUUACCACUCUAACACAACAGAACUUCUGACUUUAACGUGAUCCGACAAAGUCGAUCAACGAACCGAGUUACCCCAGGGAUAACAGCGCAAUCCCCUCUAAGAGUUCACAUCGACGAGGGGGUUUACGACCUCGAUGUUGGAUCAGGACAUCCCAAUGGCGUAGCAACUAUUAAGGGUUCGUUUGUUCAACGAUUAAAGUCCUACGUGAUCUGAGUUCAGACCGGAGUAAUCCAGGUCAGUUUCUAUCUAUGCUAUGUUUCCUUCUAGUACGAAAGGACCGAAGCAAAGGGGCCUAUUCCUUAGGAACGCCUCAUCCAAGAUUGAUGAAACCAACUAAAUUAGACAACAGGGCAUGACCCCUUUGUCAAAGAAAUAUGACACU